rnacentral:rRNA from 1 species
AGUGAACGCUGGCGGUAGGCCUAACACAUGCAAGUCGAACGGCAGCACAGUAAGAGCUUGCUCUUACGGGUGGCGAGUGGCGGACGGGUGAGGAAUACAUCGGAAUCUACUUUUUCGUGGGGGAUAACGUAGGGAAACUUACGCUAAUACCGCAUACGACCUACCGGUGAAAGCAGGGGAUCUUCGGACCUUGCGCGAUUGAAUGAGCCGAUGUCGGAUUAGCUAGUUGGCGGGGUAAAGGCCCACCAAGGCGACGAUCCGUAGCUGGUCUGAGAGGAUGAUCAGCCACACUGGAACUGAGACACGGUCCAGACUCCUACGGGAGGCAGCAGUGGGGAAUAUUGGGCAAUGGGCGCAAGCCUGAUCCAGCCAUACCGCGUGGGUGAAGAAGGCCUUCGGGUUGUAAAGCCCUUUUGUUGGGAAAGAAAAGCAGCAGGUUAAUACCCCGCUGUUCUGACGGUACCCAAUGAAUAAGCACCGGCUAACUUCGUG